AUGUCUCCGGUGAAGGUGUUCGGGCACCCGAUGUUGACAAACGUCGCACGGGUGCUGCUCUUCCUGGAGGAGGUCGGCGCCGAGUACGAGCUCGUGCCCGUCGACUUCGUCGCCGGCGAGCACAAGAGGCCCCAACACGUCCAGCUAAACCCGUUUGCGAAGAUGCCUGGGUUCCAAGAUGGCGAUCUCGUCCUGUUCGAGUCGCGCGCCAUCGCCAAGUACAUCCUCCGCAAGUACGGGGGGACAGCCGGCCUCGACCUCCUCGGAGAAAACAGCGGAAUCGAAGAAUUAGCAAUGGUGGACAUGUGGACGGAGGUGGAGGCCCAGCAGUACUACCCGGCCAUCUCGCCCGUGGUGUUCGAGUGCAUCAUCAUUCCCUUCAUCAUUCCUGGCGGUGGCGCGGCGCCGAACCAGACCGUCGUCGACGAGAGCCUGGAGCGGCUGAGGGGUGUGCUGGGGAUCUAUGAGGCCCGGCUGGAGAAGAGCAGGUACUUGGCCGGGGACUCCAUCAGCUUCGCCGAUCUGAACCACAUCCCGUUCACCUUCUACUUCAUGACCACCCCGUACGCCAAGGUGUUUGAUGACUACCCCAAGGUGAAGGCCUGGUGGGAGAUGCUCAUGGAGAGGCCCGCGGUGCAGAGGGUCUGCAAGCAUAUGCCUACGGAGUUUAAGCUAGGUGCACAGUACUAG
rnacentral:rRNA from 1 species